GGCAUUCAAGCCUAACUUGAGCCUUACUUAGGCAAACUCUAGAAGUAAGAAGUGUCUGUAUUGAUCCGUCCCUGGUUGCCGGAGCUUUUGGGAGAGAUCAUGAAGCGGGUGGAUGUCGACGGGAGUAGUGGUUGCAUAGGAAGGACAUUGUAGCUUAUUUGCCUACGCCGGCGUCUGCCGUAGGUGGAUAAAUGAGGCGCGGAGUAUUGUUCAGCAACUGCGUGAGUCCGGCGACAUCACCUUCACAUCUUCUCUCAAAGAGCCUGGACUCAGGGACUCUCCGGUACAAUGCUUGAUCAGAAGGAACAAGAGCAACUCCAGACAUUGUCUCUAUCUCGGCCUUAUAUGUCCCAAGACUAUGAUACUAUGGUAUAAUAUUUAGAUUGUUAUUCAGAGCGAUUCGAUCCUCAGUUGUAAUGUAAAAAAAAAAAAUUCAAAUGAGGACGCAAUCAAAAGAUGUUGGAUUUUUAGAUUGACCGUCGCAUGCGCUUAUAAAUUUAUCCUGAUAACCUUUAAAAAAACCUUCCAUAGAACCAAGUUAAUUAUCUCAUAAAUAAUCAAUAAAAUUAACCAAAAUUAUUAUUAUUUUCUAUCUCGGCCUAAGGUGAUGUUUCCAUAAACUUAUAACUCUUUUUAAUAUUAUUGACAUGACCCUUCUAGGUGUAAUUCUGUUAAAUGCCACGGUCAAACUCUGUAUGCAUUGGGUGGGCCGUUUCACAUAAUUUUAAUAGUUGAUACUUAACAUAUUGGGGAAGAUUGAUAAGUAUUUACAAAGAGAGCAAAUGGACCAGAUCUAGCUAUUUUUAUAAUCAUACCAAUAAGAUUAAAUAAUAAUAAUAUCACAUUGUGUAUAAUAUUGUUCAAGGUUUUGGAGGAUGAACUUCAUUCUCAACUAGCGGAUGCAAUAUUUAUUUAUGAUGAAAUGACUUCUUUUGAUUUGAUAUUCAUCUUAUAUUUUAUGAAAGAGAUUAUGAAAAUCACAUAUGUCCUUUUUCAAACUUUACAAAGUAAGUCAUAAGAUAUUAUAAAUAUAAUGGAGCUUGUAUAUAUAUUAUCUACUAAAAAUUUAUUCAACAAAUGAGGGAUAACAAGGCUUCGGAGUAAAAUGGAUGAUAUUUUUGUAAGUAUCUCAAGUUAGUUUGAUGUGAUCAAUAGAAUUAAGUUAGAUCAUAUAUAUGUGAUGUCUUAUGUCUGAGUGUGUAAGAACUUAGGAACACAAGAAGUCGAAUGGAAGACAUAGCGAAUGAGAAGGAUGACACGGGAAGGAAGCCGAUAGGCUCGGUACAUCUGAGGGACGAGAAGUUGUGGAAGUAUACACUGGUGGAGCGAGAAUGCACACGGUCUAUCAGAGGGACAAGAAGUCGGGGAAGAAACAUGCUCGAGAAGAAGGUCAGAGUUGGAUUCGGAUAAACUCAACUUCGGACGACCUCAGAUCGCCCAAGUGAGCGGGGGCCGAAAAUGAUCAACUCAGGUGUUGACCAUGAAGACCCGAGGUGCCUUAAUUGGCUUGAGGUGCCUCGGAUGGCCCAAUAGAGCAGUUGUUGCAGAAGUAACUUGAGGCGCCUCAAUUGACUAGAGGUGCCUCAGAUGAACAAUAGCUGAGACACCUUAGAUUAACUGGAGGCACUUCCGAUGUUUAGAACCAUUACGACAUGGAUAAGAAGCAGGAAACUAUGUUAGCAACAUUCGAGAUGUUGCCAGAUUAGUUUUUUGAAUGUUACAUGGAUAAAAUUUUAUCCACUUAGAGGUGGCUCCAACUGUUUGAGAUGUCAUGUCAGUAAAACAGUCACUUUGACCAUUGAGUUAUAAAUAGAGCCCUGGAGCUAGUUGUAAAAAAACACACUUAUACUGCAACAUCUGUAUUUCAUUCUAAGAGUUCAACUACUGUAAGGGACUUCUCCACCUUCAACCUUUGUCAAAGGAGUUUUUUUUAGUGCUUUCAUUGUUUUGGAUUAGUAACCUCUCCGGUUGUAAACCAAGUAAAUUCUUGAGUCUCUUACUUAAUUUUUAUGUUAUUUAUUUUUGAAUUAAUUAUGUGUCCUUGCUAAGUUAGAAAGCAAGAGAAAUUUCAUUUUGAUUUUCAGGUCAUCCAUUCACCUCU